GGGGCCGGCGGGCUGCCAAUCAGAGAGGGCGCUGCCAGGUGGGCUCACGUGCCCGCCUGCCAAUGGCAGGGCCGCGGGGGGGGGCGGCUACGUGCCCGCAGGAACUGUUUUUCACACUGGAAGGACAUGCUAGGAGAAGCCCAUAAACUGUUUUGUCAAGGUUUUGUUAAAAAUGAAAUGCAAAGUAGCAAUACACCACUCUAGUAUGUGCAUCCUAAUAGGCGAUGGAUAUGCUUUUCAGGUGGCUAAAGGUUAGAAACAUUAAGAAUGUUCUAUUGCUUCGUCACGGCUCGAGGAUCACUUUGAACACAACACAGGUUUGGCCGAUCGUGGCGCCCACUGGCAUCCCUACUUCCUCCUGCACAAGGGACUAUCGGGAGACAUAGGAGCCAGCUACACUGGGUCUGCAUUGACUGGGGACUUCUCCAUGUUGGGGGAAUCCCAAGCAGGGGACUUGAAGGUGGCAUCUCCUCCCUUUGCACUGUGUCAGCAGAACAGGGCAGAGAAUCUGACCCAAAGUAUUAGUUGUGGCCUCUGUGAGCGGCAUUGGCCCCCUCAAUACUAUUCUGCCUCCACGGUGCCAGGCAGUUCAGCAAAGUUACCCGACUUUAUCAGCAAAGUCACGGGGACAUUCUACCCAGUGAGAAGCACUCAGCUGUAACUGGCGGGAAGAGGGGGCAAUGCAGACUAGCCGAGCUGUUCGCCAUCUGGAGGGAUUCUGCUGCACAGCUGCUCAGGGACUGUAGGGUGGGGGAAAGGAGCUAGUUCUUCACAUUGUGCAUCGCCCCACAGAAGACUCUGAAUAGGUUCUGUGCUGCAGCUGGUCUGACUCAACCGGAGACUUUUCUGCCACUGGCCAUCUCCCUUCUUGGUUCACCUGUUGCAGAUUAUCAUGUAACAUCAUGAUCAACUACAGGGAUCUGUGAGAGCAAAACCAGUAGAGGUGGCUUGGGGGUGGUCACUCUAUUGCUAGUGGAGGAGACAAAUCCAUUCUAAACUGCCCCAAGCCACCGCCAGAGUGAUUGUCACGCAGCCAUGAAAUGCUGAGCCGAUCCAGCACCAGGAGCUACCUAGCGUUAGCUCAACUAAAGCGUUUAGGAAGUAGAGAGGUGUGCAGCCUUCACCCCAGCCCUGUCUCAGGACUCACACACAUGAUGGAUGUACCGAGUCCAACCUAGCUUUGGACUAGGAGACCUCCUGCACUGGAGGCAAAGAGCACAACUCUAUCACCUCUCAAAUCCACCCCUGCCAGUGCCUCCUGCUGAACGACAUACCAUGGGUGGGAACUACAGUCCAACUGGGUCAUUGAACCAUAUUACAUGUGCCAGUUCCAGGGCCUCCUCCUUUGUCAAGUCACACACAGCAGUGACUCUACUAGCCAGCAGCUGAGCAUCAACCAGCAUUAGUCCAGGCUAGAGAUGGGAGCUUAGCACAAUCAUCAUCAUCAUACCUAACUCUUCUAUAGCGCUUUUCAUCACUAGAUCUCAGCGUUUAUCCUUACAACACCCCACAGGGCCAGAGAGCAUCCAGGGACAGGCAGUCUGCAUGAGGCGCUGGUUGCAUCUCUGGAGUUUGGGGCUUAUUUCAGAACUUCCAGUCUAAGCAGGAUCACCCAGACUUGGCAAAAGUCACUGCUUGCAUUCCUUCCAUGCAGCAUACAGCCAGCAAACUCCAAAACAAACCAGCUAACAGGCUCGCUCUCCCGUCUGCCCAGAGCUCCUUGCCCUCGCUGCUGGGUAGCAUACCUCCAUCUCCCCCAUGCCAAGAGCUAUACAAGGGCAAUUUUUCACAUCAGUGCUAUAUUUCACCUUGUGGCAUAUAUUGAGCCUGAUUCUCAUUUACACGCAGGCCCCUGGGCACCACUCUGGCAGCACAGAAGGGCUUGAAAUUUGCAUAAAUUACAUUUGUGUCCAAUCUAAGGCACCUUUACAUUGCCAGAGCAGCGUGAAAGGGUCUUGGUGUAAACAAGAAUCGGGCCCUUUAGGUUUGGUUUCUUUAAUAAAAAUACAAGGAAAUGAUGAAGCAUUUCCCUGCUUUUUGGUUUCUCCAUCAGCUUGUCAUCCAGCAAAAUAUUCAUCUGUGAGGCCUCUUACCAAAACACAAUGGGGUAAAUUGCAGGUUUGCCCAGAGGACAGCACACAGACUAGGAGCCAGUCAGAGUCACCAUGCGCCAAGGGUAGGGAGGUGGGGGGAGUACUCUGUGCCAAUCUUAUACCUGGCACAGAUGACAUCCCUGGUGUGCCAGAGCAGCUGCUGGCAUGCUGCGGGGCCAGCCCCCUCCUUGCUGAUGACCAGUAUAUUCGGGGCUCAUAUAUAUGUAUCAUUCACACCACCCAAUACCAAUAUAUGGCCUAAAUUGGCCCAGGCCUUUUUAUAAGUAUCCCAUAACACCUGGCAUUAGCUGAAGUAAGUUUUGGCUUAAGCAGAUAGGAAAACUGUCAGGAGCAGAACAUAUGGGCAUUUUACCAUAGCAACAGGUAGGGAGUUACUCUCACAGACCAGCACGGGAACGUCUCAAAGGAAAAAGGGAAGACAUACGAGUGUUCUACCCUAGGAGGUGCCUUCACGCCCUCUUGGUCCAUGGAAUGCGUGUGUUCAGAGCAAAGAGAUAAGGGGGACGUACACCCUGGCACCAGAAAAACAAGGUAAUAAGCUGAUUGGUCAAAUCUAGUUUCAGAUGAUGCAACCAGUAUCUAUUACUUGUAAACAGGUUGGGCAUAAGAAGAUGGCUGG